GGCGAGAGACCGAUAGCGAACAAGUACCGUGAGGGAAAGAUGAAAAGAACUUUGAAAAGAGAGUCAAACAGUACGUGAAAUUGUUGAAAGGGAAACGAUUGAAGCCAGUCGUACCGUCGGGAAUUCAACUUUUUAAGUGCUUGUCGUGGGUGAUGUAGAGCCUCACGGCCUUCGUUGCUUUGCGUUAUGGUGCUUUUAGGGUGUACUUUUCCGUAUGGUAGGUCAAUAUCGAUUUUGGUCGUCAUAAAA
rnacentral:rRNA from 1 species